GGGGUGCUCAGGGAGGCAGCACUGCGCAAGCGCAAUAGAGGGGGCUGCGUCGACACCCACUUAACUUCGGAGUUAGUGGGACACCUUUCUUUUUGCUUAGUGCUGGGGGAAAAGAUUACUUCCCAGAUGCAGUAUUUACAUCUCCUCCGCCCUACUCUUCCAACCCUGCCUGAAAUAAGUGUGGUUCUCCUGUCUGUCAGACUAUGAAGAGUUCUCAAAUAUGUCUUUCCCAGCGAGGGAGAGGAGAAAACUUCAGCCUCCACGAUCGAUGUUUCUCAAGUGUCAAGGAAAAUGGAGCCUAGGAGGGCAGCCCCACAAGCAGCGUGAUGGGCAUUUAAGCCGACGCAUGUGCCAGGUCCUAGAACAGAGUAACUUCC
rnacentral:lncRNA from 1 species